UACGUAGGGGGCUAGCGUUAUCCAGAAUUACUGGGCGUAAAGCGCGUGUAGGCGGCUGGUUAAGUGUGAUGUGAAAUCUUCGGGCUCAACCCGAAAACUGCAUUGCAAACUGGCCUGGCUAGAGUGCAGGAGAGGGAAGCGGAAUUCCAGGUGUAGCGGUGAAAUGCGUAGAUAUCUGGAGGAACAUCAGUGGCGAAGGCGACACCCUGGACUCAUACUGACACUGAGGUGCGAAAGCGUGGGGAGCAAACAGG
rnacentral:rRNA from 1 species